rnacentral:lncRNA from 1 species
UUUACAUGAUUAAACAGACCACUUAGCAUCUUCUGUUACGGCAUCGACCUUAAAGCAUUAAGCAAACCUAAUAUCUGACUUGUAUAAUUUAGACCAAAUGUCUUAAUUUUGAAGAUACGAAGUAUUGACACCAGUACCUGACACAUAGCCAGCACUUGAUAAAUAUUUUCCAAUAAAUAACCGAAUGGUAAGAGUUAGCAAAGCAAAGCAUCCAGCCAUCUAAUAUCCCAG